rnacentral:rRNA from 1 species
UACGUAGGUGGCAAGCGUUGUCCGGAAUUAUUGGGCGUGAAGCGCGCGCAGGCGGUCCUUUAAGUCUGCUGUGAAAGCCCACGGCUCAACCGUGGAGGGUCAUUGGAAACUGGGGGACUUGAGUACAGAAGAGAAGAGUGGAAUUCCACGUGUAGCGGUGAAAUGCGUAGAGAUGUGGAGGAACACCAGUGGCGAAGGCGACUCUUUGGUCUGUAACUGACGCUGAGGCGCGAAAGCGUGGGGAGCAAACAGG